AUAAGUAAUGUCUUAAAAGUACUUAAUUAAAAUAAAAAAUCUACAUCUAAAGUCCUACAAUAAUAAGUAGUGUAAAUAGGUAUUAUCAUUAUAUCAGUCCGUUAGCGGUAGGUAGUCGUAUAAAGAGUGUCCGUGAAAGUAUAGAACCGAAAAGGGCUGACUCAGAACUGAGAGGAAAUAGUGUAUGAUUUUUCAUAACCGAUUGACUAGUGAAAUAUAACCAUAAUAAAACGCAAAAUGGUAUGGCGCGGAGCUAGUGCAGCGCGUGUACCACUUGGUGACGACCCUCCCACGCCCAUGGAAGUAAUACUACGUAAGUACUUAUAGAUACCUACUCGUCGCUACCUACUUUCAGACCACGAAUGAUGAAAAACUUAUUUGCCAGACUGCUUAGCUUAGACCAUGGUUGUGAAUGGUAAUGGUACCCACCGGCACCCAUCUAAAAGCAUAGAAUAACAAGUACAGAAGUACCAAGAAGUACACAUGUAGUACACGUUAUUCUAUGCUAAAAGUAAGUACUCUGUGGUACCCACUUUGAUUAAAGUUUAACGGUAACCACAAUAACAACCUAACCUAACCUACUAACGAAAACGGUAAAAGAGCAUUUGAUUUACCUACUUAUCCAUUUAACUUUAAGAAGUAUUCUGUAAUAAAUGGGAAAUAUUGUGUGGUCUUUAAUAUGGAUUUUGAUUUUAAUUUUCAUUGGUUGGUGGAUAGCUCUCCUCUUGUCGGUAUUCUAUGUUAUAUUUCUACCUUUUGGAGUUUGCAUUCCAGCAUGCGCGCCGAUCACUGAUUUAUUACUUGCUAUAGUUCAAUUUCCUGGAUUCUGUGCGGAAAAAAUGAAAGCUGGCGAAGGAUUCUAAAAUGUACACUGAAGAUGGCACGAUGUGCAUAAUUAUAAUGUAUAAGUACCUUGUGAAACAUACCCUUAUUGUCCUUAUAAAUAAUUAAAAUUAUAUAUAAGAAUGG